GCUACACACGUGCUACAAUGGACAAUACAAAGGGCAGCGAAACCGUGAGGUCAAGCAAAUCCCAUAAAGUUGUUCUCAGUUCGGAUUGUAGUCUGCAACUCGACUACAUGAAGCUGGAAUCGCUAGUAAUCGUAGAUCAGCAUGCUACGGUGAAUACGUUCCCGGGUCUUGUACACACCGCCCGUCACACCACGAGAGUUUGUAACACCCGAAGCCGGUGGAGUAACCUUUUAGGAGCUAGCCGUCGAAGGUGGGACAAAUGAUUGGGGUGAAGUCGUAACAAGGUAGCCGUAUCGGAAGGUGCGGCUGGAUCACCUCCUUU
rnacentral:rRNA from 1 species